CCGGGCUUAACCUGGGGGCUGCAUUCCAAACUGGAUAUCUAGAGUGCAGGAGAGGAAAGCGGAAUUCCUAGUGUAGCGGUGAAAUGCGUAGAGAUUAGGAAGAACACCAGUGGCGAAGGCGGCUUUCUGGACUGUAACUGACGCUGAGGCACGAAAGCGUGGGUAGCAAACAGGAUUAGAUACCCUGGUAGUCCACGCCGUAAACGAUGGAUACUAGGUGUAGGGGGUAUCAACUCCCCCUGUGCCGCAGUUAACACAAUAAGUAUCCCGCCUGGGGAGUACGGUCGCAAGAUUAAAACUCAAAGGAAUUGACGGGGGCCCGCACAAGCAGCGGAGCAUGUGGUUUAAUUCGAAGCAACGCGAAGAACCUUACCUGGACUUGACAUCCCUUGCAUAGCCUAGAGAUAGGUGAAGCCCUUCGGGGCAAGGAGACAGGUGGUGCAUGGUUGUCGUCAGCUCGUGUCGUGAGAUGUUAGGUUAAGUCCUGCAACGAGCGCAACCCUUGUUAUUAGUUGCUACCAUUAAGUUGAGCACUCUAAUGAGACUGCCUGGGUAACCAGGAGGAAGGUGGGGAUGACGUCAAAUCAUCAUGCCCCUUAUGUCCAGGGCUACACACGUGCUACAAUGGUAGGUACAAUAAGAUGCAAGACCGUGAGGUGGAGCAAAACUUAUAAAACCUAUCUCAGUUCGGAUUGUAGGCUGCAACUCGCCUACAUGAAGCUGGAGUUGCUAGUAAUCGCGAAUCAGAAUGUCGCGGUGAAUACGUUCCCGGGCCUUGUACACACCGCCCGUCACACCAUGAGAGCUGGUAACACCCGAAGUCCGUGAGGUAACCGUAAGGAGCCAGCGGCCGAAGGUGGGAUUAGUGAUUGGGGUGAAGUCGUAACAAGGUAGCCGUAGGAGAACCUGCGGCUG
rnacentral:rRNA from 1 species